UGCAAGUGGUGCGGUUGCAUGCUGUCAUGUUGCGUUUUUGUAUAGUAUUGAUGUGCUCUAUUUUAUAAUUGUGACUUUGUAGUGGUGGUGGUGGUAAUAGGAAGUGGAUUAAGUCGGUUAAGCCGCCACUAAGGGCCCAGGUACCAAAUGUACAGCCCAACACUGCAUUUAACAACUAUUUGACCCUAGAACAGAUGGAAUCCAUUCCCAUAGUUAACUCUGGGAAGAGUUGUUUUAACAUAGC